UACGAAGGGGGCUAGCGUUGUUCGGAAUUACUGGGCGUAAAGCGCACGUAGGCGGAUUGUUAAGUUAGGGGUGAAAUCCCAGGGCUCAACCCUGGAACUGCCUUUAAUACUGGCAAUCUCGAGUCCGAGAGAGGUGAGUGGAAUUCCGAGUGUAGAGGUGAAAUUCGUAGAUAUUCGGAGGAACACCAGUGGCGAAGGCAGCUCACUGGCUCGGUACUGACGCUGAGGUGCGAAAGCGUGGGGAGCAAACAGG
rnacentral:rRNA from 1 species